rnacentral:rRNA from 1 species
CCUCUCUCUUUUCUUUCCCCACCUUUUCCCAAUCCCACCUACCGCACGCGUCCAGGACCACGGCGACCGGAGGCGCUGCUGCCCAUGGUCGCCGUCGUGCCCCCGCCUCCGGCGCCUCUCCCCGCCGCCGCUCGCGGCCGAAGCCGGAGCCCUCGUCGAGGCGGGCUUGAUCCCCGCCAUGGUUGCGGCGCAGCAGGCCACGCUGCACGCGCAGGUGGACCAGCUCCAGCGCCUCGUCGUCAACCCGCUCGCCCAGGAGAUGGUCAGGAGCCCCUCCCCUUUCUCCAAUCUCUGCAUCGUCGGCUCUGCGCGCAGCUCCGCGAGGCGGAGUGCGAGGCCGUGGUGGCCGUCCUCGCGCCGUAGUCGCCGUCCUCGAGCUCGUGCCGUGGUGGCCGUCCUCGAGCUCGUGCCGUGGUGGCGCGCAAUGGGUGCCGCCGAGGAUGCCGUCCAGCAGCUCGGCCUGCUCAUGGAGCUUUGGGAUGUGGUUCACCGGACACGUGGGCGAGGCGGAGGCGCCGGCGUGCGUGCUCUCUCCCGUCUGCAUCUUGAGCAGCUCUGCAUCCUGAGCAGCUCUGCAUCCUGUUGCAGCCGGAGCUGGGCUCCAUGACGGAUCUACUUGAUGCUCAAGAAUACUUGCUCCAGGAAGGGUGCAGACCGCCGUCUACACGAACAAGCAGAGAUACAUGCAGCUCUUCCUCCUCGUUGCUGUCCUGUACCUGACGCCGGCGACCUCGAGUAGAUCAACCUCGACCGCUGGCUGCUGCAGCGCGCCGACGGGGCAGGGCGUGAAGCCGGCGGCCUGGGCAGCUCGCCCACGCGGCGAACGGGAAGCGCGUGGAGGCGGCCAGCGGCCUGGGCAGCGCCGACCUCCAUACCUCCAAGGUGUUUGUGCUAAUGCACUGAGAUAAUUUGGGGGUGGUUUGGGGUCAACGAGUGGGAAACAGCUAUCCCCAUACGACGUGUUUUGUCCGGACGCCCCCCAAAGCCCUCUCCAAAGUUGUAAUCCGGAUGCUAUAUGGGGGCUGCGAGUGGAGAUGCUCUUACAGUUCAAACAAAGUAAUGUGCUUCAGGCACUAUGGUAGGAUAAAUACACGGCGGUAGACAAAUCGGGAUGCAAUCAUGUGAAUAAUGCAAACAGCGAGGAAUUUCUCUAACAAAAACUAUGCAUGAUUCAGAGUAAUGACAACCUAUGUUCAGAAAGCAAGCCAGUAAUCAAAUACUAAUGACUGGAGAGUCUGCAUCGCCAAGUUUUCAUCGCUCUCCACUUAUGCACUGAAGACACGCAGCUCCAACAAUCUUUUGUACUGGCCUUGUUCUAUCUCUGCUUCAUUUGCACCAUGUAAUAACAGGAGCUCAAUGACACAAUCUUCCCAGUCAAUAACAUUACAUGAGUCUCUUUUCUUUCUCUUCUUCACACAGUCCGGAGCAUUUGAAAUCUCUGUCAGAUGAUCCUUUUCAUUUCGUC